rnacentral:tRNA from 1 species
UGGCUCAGAGGGUAAAGCGUCUGCCUGCAAUGCAGAAGACCCCGGUUCAAUCCCUGG